UCCCCGGUGGUCCAGAGGUCAGGACACCAUGCUUUCACUGCUGUGGGCCCAGGUUCAAUCCCUGAUUGGGGAA
rfam:TPA: Bos taurus chromosome 18, whole genome shotgun sequence.